GCCGGUGUGGCGGAACUGGCAGACGCCCGGGACUUAAAAUCCCGUGAUGCGAAAGCAUCGUACCGGUUCGAUCCCGGUCACCGGCACCA
rnacentral:tRNA from 1 species